UGCAGUCGAGCGGUAGAGAGAAGCUUGCUUCUCUUGAGAGCGGCGGACGGGUGAGUAAUGCCUAGGAAUCUGCCUGGUAGUGGGGGAUAACGUUCGGAAACGGACGCUAAUACCGCAUACGUCCUACGGGAGAAAGCAGGGGACCUUCGGGCCUUGCGCUAUCAGAUGAGCCUAGGUCGGAUUAGCUAGUUGGUGGGGUAAUGGCUCACCAAGGCGACGAUCCGUAACUGGUCUGAGAGGAUGAUCAGUCACACUGGAACUGAGACACGGUCCAGACUCCUACGGGAGGCAGCAGUGGGGAAUAUUGGACAAUGGGCGAAAGCCUGAUCCAGCCAUGCCGCGUGUGUGAAGAAGGUCUUCGGAUUGUAAAGCACUUUAAGUUGGGAGGAAGGGCCGUUACCUAAUACGUGAUGGUUUUGACGUUACCGACAGAAUAAGCACCGGCUAACUCUGUGCCAGC
rnacentral:rRNA from 1 species